ensembl:lncRNA
GGCACUGCGGGCACACGGGGUGGCACCGGGACAGGGGACAGGACAGGGGUGGCACUGGGACACAGGACAGGGGUGGCACCGGGACACGGGACAGGGACAGGGGUGGCACUGGGACACAGGACAGGAUGGGGGUGGCACUGGGACACGGGACAGGAUGGGGGUGGCACUGGGACAGGGACAGGGACAGGGGUGGCACUGGGACAGGGACAGGGACAGGGGUGGCACUGAGACACAGGACAGGGGUGGCACUGGGACACGGGACAGGAUGGGGGUGGCACUGGGACAGGGACAGGGACAGGGGUGGCACCAGGACACGGGACAGGAUGGGGGUGGCACCAGGACACGGGACGGGGCUGGCACCGGGACACAGGACAGGAUGGGGGUGGCACCGGGACACAGGACAGGAUGGGGGUGGCACUGGGACAGGGACAGGGACAGGGCUGGCACUGGGACACAAUGGGGGUGGCACCGGGACACAGGACAGGGACGGGGGUGGCAGUGGGACACGGGACAGGGGUGGCACUGGGACAGGGACAGGAUGGGGGUGGCACCGGGACAUGGGACAGGAGUGGCACCAGGACACGGGACAGGAUGCGGGUGGCACUGGGACACGGGACAGGAUGGGGGUGGCACUGGGACACGGGACAGAGGUGGCACCAGGACAGGGGACAGGAUGGGGGUGGCACUGGGACAGGGACAGGGACAGGGGUGGCAGCAGGACACGGGACAGGGACAGGGGACAGGAUGGGGUUGGCACUGGGACACGGGACAGAGGUGGCACUGCCCGGAGUCACCCCAGGAACAUGGACAGGGGUGGCACCGGGACAGGGACAGGGGUGGCACUGGGACAUGGGACAGGAGUGGCACCGGGACACGGGACGGGGACAGGGGUGGCACUGCCCAGAGUCACCCCAGGGACAGGGAGAGGGGUGGCACUGUGACAUGGGAGAGGGAUGGGGGUGGCACUGCAACACGGGACAGGGUUGGCACCAGGACACAGGACAGGACGGGGGUGGCACCGUGACACGGCACAGGGACAGUGACAGGGACAGUGACAGCACCACCCAGCGCCACCCCAGGGAUGGGUGACAAGGACGGGGACAAGGACAGGGACAGGGCUGGGGACAGGGGACAAGGCUGGGGACAGGGCUGGGGAUAGGGGACAGGGCUGGGGACAGGUGGCCUCACCUUGGACGAUGAGGUUGACCUCAGACUUGGCGAUGUGGCUGCCAUCGGCCACCACCUCGCAGAUGUACUUGCCGCUGUCCUCCCGCGUCACCGACUGGAACCGGAUGGACGUGGGCGAGAACUGGACACGGUCCCGGUACGACUCUGGGGGACACCGAGGGGACACCACGGGGACACCCCCGAUGGCUCCACGGGCUUUGGGACCCCCCCUCAGAUGUCCCCACAAGGCUCCUCCAAUGUCCCCACGGGCUCACGGCCUCCCUGGUGUCCCCCGAUGUCCUCAGUGUCCCCGAUGUCCCCUCUGUCCCCGGUGUCCCCAAUGUCCCCAAUGUCCCCAAUGUCCCCAAUGACCCCAAUGUCCCCCAUGUCCCCCACUGUCCCCAAUGUCCCCAGUGUCCCCCAAUGUCUCAAAUGUCCCCCAAUGUCCCCCACUGUCCCCCAAUGUCCUCAGUGUCCACCAAUGUCCCCAAUGUCCCCCAAUGUCCCCAAUGUCUCCCAAUGUCCCCCAAUGUCCCCAAUGACCCCCAUGUCCCCCAAUGUCCCCAAUGUCCCCCAGUGUCCCCAAUGCCCCCAAUGUCCCCAGUGUCCCCAAUGCCCCCAAUGUCCCCAGUGUCCCCAAUGCCCCCAAUGUCCUCAGUGUCCACCAAUGUCCCGCAAAGUCCCCAAUAUCCCCCAAUGUCCCCACUGUCCCAAAUGUCUCCAAUGUCCCUCAAUGUCCCCAGUGCCCCCAAUGUCCCCACUGUCCCCAAUGACCCCAAUGUCCCCAGUGUCCCCAAUGUCCCAAAUGUCCCCAAUGCCCCCAAAAUCCCCAAUGUCCCCCAAUGUCCCCCAAUGUC